CCCGAAAUAGCUCCGUUGGGAGAGCGUUAUAGAUCGAAAGGUCCCUGGUUCGAUCCCGGGAUUCGGCA
rnacentral:tRNA from 1 species